AUUGAACGCUGGCGGCGUGCUUAACACAUGCAAGUCGAACGCGAAAGUGGCUUCGGCCACGAGUAGAGUGGCGCACGGGUGAGUAACGCGUGGAUAAUCUGCCUCUGCAAUCGGAAUAACGACUGGAAACGGUCGCUAAUACCGGAUACGCUUAAGUUUUACCUCUUAAGGAAAGAUGACCUCUAUUUAUAAGUUAUCGUGCAGAGAUGAGUCCGCGUCCCAUUAGCUUGUUGGCGGGGUAACGGCCCACCAAGGCGACGAUGGGUAGCCGAUUUAAGAGGAUGAUCGGCCACAUUGGAACUGAAACACGGUCCAAACUCCUACGGGAGGCAGCAGUGGGGAAUAUUGCGCAAUGGGCGAAAGCCUGACGCAGCGACGCCGCGUGAGGGAUGAAGGUCUUCGGAUCGUAAACCUCUGUCAGAAGGGAAAAAUGUACAGUGCUCCAAUCAACACUGUAUUGAUGGUACCUUCAGAGGAAGCACCGGCUAACUCCGUG
rnacentral:rRNA from 1 species